AAAAACUAAGGUGGUAUAUGAUGGAUCCGCGUCUGAUUAGCCAGUUGGUGAGGUAACGGCUCACCAAAGCGACGAUCAGUAGCCGGCCUGAGAGGGCGGACGGCCACAUUGGGACUGAGACACGGCCCAGACUCCUGCGGGAGGCAGCAGUGGGGGAUAUUGCACAAUGGGGGAAACCCUGAUGCAGCGACGCCGCGUGAGUGAAGAAGUAAUUCGUUACGUAAAGCUCUAUCAGCAGGGAAGAAAAUGACGGUACCUGACUAAGAAGCCCCGGCUAACUACGUGCCAGCAGCCGCGGUAAUACGUAGGGGGCAAGCGUUAUCCGGAAUUACUGGGUGUAAAGGGAGCGCAGACGGCAGUGCAAGUCUGGAGUGAAAGCCCGUGGCUUAACCACGGGACUGCUCUGGAAACUGUGCAGCUAGAGUGCAGGAGAGGCAGGCGGAAUUCCUAGUGUAGCGGUGAAAUGCGUAGAUAUUAGGAGGAACACCGGUGGCGAAGGCGGCCUGCUGGACUGUAACUGACGUUGAGGCUCGAAAGCGUGGGGAGCAAACAGGAUUAGAUACCCUGGUAGUCCACGCCGUAAACGAUGAUUACUAGGUGUCGGGGGACGAUAGUGCUCCG
rnacentral:rRNA from 1 species